rnacentral:lncRNA from 1 species
CGCACGACAAUGGUACAGUCCAUUGGUGGCUGUUCAAACCCCAAAGGAACUGCAAGACACCCCUGCACUCCUCUCUGUGACCCUCGGCAGACCCGGACAACCCACAAACCUGCAGAACGGGUCAUGUGACUAAGUCUUAAUCAUGACUAAUUCCUCACGAGUAAAAGCUAAAAUGUUGUGAGCGUUAAGAGUUUCUACAGCUUACAUUCGCUGAAGGGCUGAAUGAACGGACAGGAAGUCGGUCAGCAUGACCCCCCUCCAGUAAUAACAAGCUGCAUAAGUGAUCACAAAGGAGACGGUUGGUGUGGACGGCUGAGUCAGCAGUCUGUCCGUCCUCCCUCCUCCUGCCUGUGCGUCCAUCACCGAGGCCUCCAUUUGACUGGUAAAUCAGCCACUCAGCACCCGAGCGGCUCAGGCAGACGGUAGACGAGGCGACGGGCAGCAUCCUACGAGCGAGGGUCCCGCGCGAGGAGGCACCCAACGCCAACAAAGAUGGGAAAUGGGAGCAGCCAUGUGCAAACUGUCGAAGAAAGUCGGUCAGCACGUGAGGAAGAAGUCCACAGGGACGGGCUGCAGGUAUGCAUGUCACGCUGCCUGUCGAAACAAAGUGUCGCUCGACUGUCAUCUCGUCAGCCAGGACCGGCUCAACAACAACAACAACAACACCCCCGCGCCGCUCCAUGUGAGUGAACCUCCUGCUUACAAAAAAAAAUCAUUUUAUUUGUUUAGUGUAGAAAACAUCCGUUCAAAGAUU